UGUUCCAACCAUAAAAGGCUGGUCCUAUGUGAAGUUGCCACACUGCAUUUGGCUUAGUCCUCUGAGGUUGGAGAGCCUAUAGCUUUUUAUGUGGAUAAAUCCAGUGAUGGAUGGAAAUACUAAAGGCAGAUCAAGGAAUAACACUGUUGAGGACUUCAGAUGGCAGCGAACUCUUAAAAGGAGAUUUUCACUAAUAAAUUUUUUGCUCUGAUGUUUGGAAUCAGCACUUGGAUAUAGCUCCUGCAUAUUUACUGCAUUUGGUGAACGCAUGCUUUUAGGAAAGCGCUGUUCUAAAUUUAUCUGACUUAUCUGAAUCAUCUUGACUGCACAUGUACUUGCCAGCCAUGCAUGUUGGUAUUUGGUAACUUUUGUGAAGUCACUUUUCUGUUUUCUGAGCGGGUGAGUGUUAGGUCCUUGGGAAAAGAAUCUUAGCUGACGCGAGAAACUUCUUUAAAACAAGAAUUAUGAAGUACUUGGCCAAAGAGAGCUUCAGGCAUUAUCAGUAACUAUUUUGAGAAGACUUUGACCCCUUUUGCUGCAUCUGUACCUUCUUUCUGUCCUCUUUGUGUAAAGGCAGACAAGUGGAUUUUUUACAGGAUUCUGAAAUUUUGCAAAAGGAAA